GCCUAGGUAGCUCAGUUGGUAGAGCGUCAGGCUUUUAAUCUGAGGGCCCACGGUACAAGACCGUGUCUGAGCA